rnacentral:rRNA from 1 species
UGGUUGAUCCUGCCAGUUGUCAUAUGCUUGUUUCAAGGACUAAGCCAUGCAAAUGUCAGAGUACUUGCUUUUGCGAGAGAUCUGUGUACAGCUCAUUAAACGGUUUAUUGUCUGCCCAACCGAGAAGUGCCUUGUGCCCUUCCGAUGGGAUAACGAUUUCGAAAUGAAUCGCUAAUACCUGUAAGACAAACCUUGCACCGUUCCAACAUCCUUGUGGGAAACUGCUUGGGUGUGGUGUGGGGUGCAAUUCGCCGGAACAAAAACCCACGCCUUCACCGGGCAGUUGUAAUUGUUGAGGCAGGCGAAUGUUGCGAAAGCACCUUUUGGUGCGAUGUUGGAUGAAUUUACCACCUAUCAGGUUGAAGGUAGUAUAGUUGACUACCUUGCCAUUGACGGGUAACGGAGAAUUGGGGUUCGAUUCCGGAGAGGGUGCCUGAGAAACGGCAACCAUCACCACGGUGAGCAGCAGGCGCGCAAAUUGCCCAAUGCUAAUACUAGCGAGGCAGCGACGAAAAAUAAUAACUCUGUUGCACUUCGUGUAUCAGAGAUUGUAAUGGAUUGUAUCUAGUACACACUGCUGAGUAUCAAUUGAAGGGCAAGUCUGGUGCCAGCAGCCGCGGUAAUUCCAGCUUCAAGAGCAUAUAUGAACGUUGUUGCGGUUAAAAAGCCCGUAGUUGGAUUUGAGGAUGUCGCUUGUGAUCACGCCUCAUGAGUACUUCGGUGCUUUUGGGAUCACGUGAACACAUUUAGGCGGUGUUCUUACUUAUGCGGGACUGGUCGUUGGUCAGAACCAUCUUAACCGGUGGUGAAGACGCCUACGGAGUCAUCAUGCUCCAAAAGACGCGCCCGCAGAUGUCACUGUGAGUAAAACAGAGUGUUCAAGGCAACCGACUUGCUCGGUUGAAUGUUAAAGCAUGGAAUGACAAGGGAUCGACCACUUUUGGCCUCUUUUUGUUGGUUUUCAAGCCUCAGUGCGGUAACCUUGUGCAGGGACCUCCGGCUUGGCUGCGUGCUUGCACCGCCUUGUCGAGCCCUCGCACCUACGGGAUCAACAGGAGCACAGGGGGCCAUGAGUACUGGAGGGUGAGCGGUGAAAUGCUGAGACCCCUCCAAGACUGACAUCAGCGAAAGCACUUGGCUAUUGUGCUUUCAUUAAUCAAGGACGAGAGAUAGGGGAUCGAAGAGGAUUAGACACCCUCGUAGUCCUUUCCUUAAACUCUGCAGACUUGGGAUCGGUCAGCGCUCUCUUUCCUGACUUGAUCGGCACCUCCCCCUUUUAUCGAGAAAUCAAAGUCUUUGUGUUCCGGGGGGAGUACAUUCGCAAGGCUGAAACUUAAAGGAAUUGACGGAGAACCACCACCAGUCGUGGAUUGUGUGGCUUAAUUCGACCCAACACGGGAAAUUUUAGCUGUAUAGGACAUGGGAAGGAUUGCCAAGUUAAAGCCUUUGCUUGAUUCCAUGAAGGGUGGUGCAUGGCCGCUUCUGGUUGGUGAAUGUGAUUUGUCUGCUUAAUUGCGAUAACGAACGAGAUCUCUGCCAAUUACUAGAUGCUGCUUUCGCUGUAGGUUGGAGUUGGGACGUUGGGUUUCGGCUCGCGGACCAGCUUCACCGAGAAGGCAGACGUUUACUUA